rnacentral:rRNA from 1 species
UACGAAGGGUGCAAACGUUGCUCGGAAUCAUUGGGCGUAAAGCGCACGUAGGCGGCCCCAUAAGUCGGAUGUGAAAUCCCUCGGCUCAACCGAGGAAGUGCAUCCGAAACUGCGGGUCUCGAGUCCGGGAGAGGUGAGUGGAAUUCCUAGUGUAGAGGUGAAAUUCGUAGAUAUUAGGAAGAACACCAGUGGCGAAGGCGGCUCACUGGCCCGGUACUGACGCUGAGGCGCGAAAGCGUGGGGAGCAAACAGG